AGUGCUAUGCUGUGGACACACAAAUACAUUGGUCAGUUUGUUCAGUGGCAGAGUUUUAUUUUGCCUCUGACUUUUUCUGUGAGGAAGAAAUGAUGAAAUGGUAUUCCAUCUGGUCUUUGCUUCAGUCACAUUACAUUUACCAAUUUCUGCAGCAAGUGGAGGAUCCAGGCCACAGUAAUCUUUAUUACACAAUCUUUCAGAUCCAGAAGCAUCCCAUCUCAGAGUAAGAUGCAUAGGAUCCAUCAAUGCUAAGCUGUAAUAAAACCUACCAAAAGUUCUGACAAACAACACAAGCAGAAAGACUUUGCAUGUUUCUUCCCAGCUUACAGAGUGAUUUUGAACCUAUCAUUUCAGCUGUCCAGAUUGCCCUACUCAAUGUCUUUGUGUUUUACAGUCAAGCUGACACUAUGAAAAGGAUUUAACUUGCCUGAAGAAGUCUUGCCUCUGGCAUUAGUGACAUCUGUCCUUCCGGUUUUUGCUCUCUCUCUGCAGUGUGACUUUUUUGUGGUUCCCUAUUUUGAUGUCAGAUUGGGAUGUUCAUGUACCCCUACACUUACUUCAUGGGAAUCUUCAUUGAGAGAGAUUGAAAGGCAGCCAGGGAUGCGAGAUGAAAAAGAGGCAAGCCAGACCAUGCCUAUAAGUGAACCAUGAUAAUAAUUGGACAUGAUCCAGUGUUAAAUCUAGCUAUUCAUUUGGUGCUUUUUUAAAAAUGUCUCC